rnacentral:rRNA from 1 species
AGAUUGAACGCUGGCGGCAUGCUUUACACAUGCAUGUCGAACGGUAACAGGCCGCAAGGUGCUGACGAGUGGCGAACGGGUGAGUAAUGCAUCGGAACGUGCCCAGUCGUGGGGGAUAACGCAGCGAAAGCUGUGCUAAUACCGCAUACGACCUAUGGAUGAAAGCGGGGGACCGAAAGGCCUCGCGCGAUUGGAGCGGCCGAUGUCAGAUUAGCUAGUUGGUGGGGUAAAGGCCCACCAAGGCGACGAUCUGUAGCUGGUCUGAGAGGACGACCCGCCACACUGGAACUGAGACACGGUCCAGACUCCUACGGGAGGCAGCAGUGGGGAAUUUUGGACAAUGGGGGCAACCCUGAUCCAGCCAUUCCGCGUGAGUGAAGAAGGCCUUCGGUUGUAAAGCUCUUUCAGCAGGACGAAACGGUGGUCUUAAUACGGCCUAUUAAUGACGGUACCUGCAGAAGAAGCACCGGCAACUACGUGCCAGCAGCCGUA